rnacentral:rRNA from 1 species
AUUGAACGCUGGCGGCAUGCUUUACACAUGCAAGUCGAACGGCAGCGCGGGCUUCGGCCUGGCGGCGAGUGGCGAACGGGUGAGUAAUACAUCUGAACGUGCCCAGUAGUGGGGGAUAGCUCGUCGAAAGCCGGAUUAAUACCGCAUACGACCUGAGGGUGAAAGCGGGGGAUCUUCGGACCUCGCGCUAUUGGAGCGGCCGAUGGCAGAUUAGCUAGUUGGUGGGGUAAAGGCCUACCAAGGCGACGAUCUGUAGCUGGUCUGAGAGGACGACCAGCCACACUGGGACUGAGACACGGCCCAGACUCCUACGGGAGGCAGCAGUGGGGAAUUUUGGACAAUGGGCGAAAGCCUGAUCCAGCAAUGCCGCGUGUGUGAUGAAGGCCUUCGGGUUGUAAAGCACUUUUGGCGGGAACGAAAAGGACUGUGCCAAUACCACGGUUCGAUGACGGUACCCGCAGAAUAAGCACCGGCUAACUACGUG